UUUCAAAUCUUUAUAAGUGUUCAAAUUUUUAUUACAUCAACUAUACGAAUCGACAAGGAUAUUUCUUUUUUUAAACGUAGAAUUUUCGCAUGAACUGCGAUUCACGUUUUAUCGGAGCGAAAAUAUUCGCAAGCGCUCUCCGCGAUUAGGCGGUCGUGAGGUAUCUCUCGCGAUUUUACGCAGACGUACGCGCACGAAAUAUCGAGCGACUUUAUGCGCGCACGAAUUUUAUAUGGCACCUCGUUGGAGACGCCAUGAAGCGUCUAUAAAAUUGCCUAUAACCGUCUGGAGUUUCCGGGCGAAGCCCCGAACACCCAUGAAAUCUGCAUGAGCCCGUAAGAGGAGUCUCUUUCUCCAUACUUUCGGAAAUCCUUGGACCCUCGAGAAGCCAUGCACGGAGUCAAGCGAAAGGAAGGGAGGUUUUGACGAUUGCUCGCCGGGAUCAUUCUACGCGCGAGUUCUGCCGCAGAAAUAAGUAGUUUCCCGAGCUUUUUCUGCGAGAGCAGUUUGCCCCUGCUUCCACCGGAAGUUUUAAUGGAAUGGAACAUCGGUUUGACUUAAUGAAUCGUGAAUCAUCUCUGUGUAUUAUCAACGUUAAUAUAUUUCAUUUUCGUUGCUCUAUACAAUAUGUAUAUGUAUAUGCGUAACAGGUAAAAAUACGAAGAAUAAAUGCAAACACAGGUUGCGUAUAACAUUAGAAAAUUUCUCGUUUAAUAGCGAAAUAAGGGACUCAUCAAAGGAAACUUUGGAUUUGGUCAUGUGCGCGUAAAUAUUUCGUUGCAGUGCAGCAGAAUUAAUUAUCAUCGCGGUGCUUUUAUCCAUUCGCUAGUAAUUAAAAAGGGAAAAGGAAUUAAUCCCGACGUAUCUGAAUGAAGCAUCAAUCUACUCGACCCUGUUUCAUUUCGCGGCGGGAGAUGCGCGCGAUUAUCAAUUUAUUAUAAUUAUUUUGCGGUAGUAACGCUGUGAUGGGGAGGGCCGACGUGCGAUAAACAUGCAAUUUUUACCUGACGUCCCUCCCGACGUAAUUAGAACGUCGAUCCGGUUUAAUUAUCGGGGUCCCAGAUACCGUUACGAAAUGGUAGAUAUUUUCUCAAGUGCCGUUAAUGAGCCGGGCAUGUAAAUUAAUAUCGGAUUAUGCGUUUCGUAGAGCCACCGGCGCCGGUCGGCGAAUCCGACCGAGCCCCGACUGGAUUAUCGAUUAAUUAUGCUCGUUAGGUCGGUCACACCGGAGUCGCCGUUGCCCGCAAUUAAAGCGGCGGACUUCCUGUCUGCGUAUUUAGGAUUCGCCGUGGCGCGCGAGCGCUGUCCAUUAAUAUAUCGUGGCCAAUAACAUAUCGAACGGCUUAGUUGGACCAACAUGCGAUUAAAACCGCAUAAUUUCGCGCCGGCCGACCAUUCAAGCGGGCUGUUGUUGUCUGUUGUUGUCGUCGUGGUUACCGCUGUUAUGUCCGUGCUGUUCUUGCUGCUUCGGCUAGAUUCGGUUGUUGGUUCGUGCUAAUUUAUCGACUAUCCGGCUUGCAGUCAGUCGCCUUCUUUUUUCCGGAUGGCGAUGCUUUUGUUCCCACCUGGAUUAUCCCGCGCUAUGGAGAUACGGUCGAUAAUCGGUGGAUAUAAUUAGCGCAAAGUACACUAUGAGUCAACUACUUUUUCGCGAUGCGAAAACCAGAAAUUUCUCCAGUCGGGAUGAAACGGUGCGAAUUGUCGGAUGAUACAGUCUGUUGCAAGAAAGUUUCGUACUUUCGAGACGACGGCAAACAACCGAGAUGGUGCUGAAUUCUAUUCGAAUGAAGUUUGCCUACUCCUCGAUAUUUCCGAAUAUUCGCUCUUGUAUCAAGAGAUCGCGGAAGACUCGAAGAUUACCGAAUUUAAACUUGUACUUCAAAUCUGGGAUUCGCGACGGAGGAUUUUACGGUUACAUGCGUGUGCCGUAUUGUGCAUGCGUUUAACACUUCCACGCCAGACAAUCGCGAUUGAUCGAGGCAUCUUGUGAGUUUCCCUAAACGCUCAACGACAUUACGAAGUCCGGUAGUACGAACUGGUAACGAGAAGCUUUCGUGGACGUCGGGACGCUGUUGACGCCCGUUUCCGAUCUGCCCGCGCGAGCUUCCCUCGAGAAAGGCGACCACGCUCCAUUUCCGACUCUGCCGGAAACCAGCCGUUACCCGGGCUUACUGACACCGAGAAAAUCUCCGGUCGGUGCAAGCUGUCGUCAUGCUGGCAAUGGAGGCGGUGGUGGUGCGUUCUUUAGCGGCGCGCUGCAGCGCGUGCAGCCGACAACCCCCGUAAUGCGCGGAAAAGCGUGCAUCCACCUAUUUGUGCAACGGUCGUCCCUUGCAGAUAAUUAACCCCGUCGCGUCGAUUUUUUGCGUCAACCUGCAAUCGCUUCUCGAUUUUGGUCUCCGUCCUCGUAAAUAAUUCCGAGAGACAACUCCCGGUGGAAAUUGUUCAAAACGUCUCUCGUGCUUCAACGAGAUAUUCGCCGCCGGAGAAUGAAAAUGUUGCGUUCACGAAAAACUGAGAAAGAGGAAAAAGUCCUUCAAAGCGCUCGAGGAAUUCCUCGAAUUUUCGUUCCCAAUUCAGGGACGCCCCGCAUCUAUUCGUCCCGACCGAUAACUCGCUUUUAACGACGCCCGCGAUAAGGUUUAUCUGCUUUUUGACGGACACCACGAUGCCAUUAGCGCUGAAAGCCGGCCUCUGCUCCGGCGUCUCCCUUCGCUGUGCAUAAUCGCCCGCUGCACAGUACGAAUUUAAUAAAUCCGAUGGACCAGGCGGAAUCGCAUUAUAGGCGCGCGAUUGACCUCUGACCCCGAAGGAAGAACUCCCUCGUAAAUCCGAGCUGGGAAUUAUUUCUUGACCGGUCGAUGGAUGUCGCACGGAUGAUGCAGAUUUUCGUGCACCCCCGAACGAGAACUUUAAUACUCUGUGCUCCUCUCUUUCUUUCUUUCUCUGUUCCGCUCGCUUUUUCCCUCUUUUCCUCUUUUUCUGUCAAAACGGCUGCUUUUAUCCAACGUAUGCACACGGCUCGCGCUGCCUGUUUGCAUCGCGGACGCGCGGCGAACAGCUUUCCGCCUGGGAGAUUUUCCGCGGCGUCCCGCUCUCUUUUUUUCACCCUUUUGCGGGAUAUGCAAGCCGCGUCCAAGCGUGAGCCGUAGCGUGAACACAAUGAAUCUUAUUACGGUGCCCUGACCCCGCCGGGUCCCAUUGUGACUCUCUAAUCCUGUUUAGCAUAGACCAGCCCUUGGGAUGCGUCGCGACUGCCUAUGUCGCGGUUUAACGGAUGUAAAAAAAUAUAAAAGGAGAAAAAAAGAGAAAACCGCCGCAGGUGGAACGAAUAUAUUACCCGAUCUGUCAUUUAAUUUCGUCGGUCAUCUCCGCAAAUUGCCAGUUCGCACACAGAUAAAUUAUAAUAAAGGUGGAUCAGUGAAGAUUCGCCCGAGAAGUAUAUCUCUAUACUGUUAUAGACAUAUCAAUUCCUUAAAAUUUCUAUUUUGAUAAAGACUUAUCGAAUUGGAUGUAAUGCAGUUAUUGCAUGUCUUUUUUAUUCUGUAGGAAGAGAAAGAGGAAGAGAGUAUGUGCUAUAUGUUGCUAUUAAUAUUUACCUAUCUUUCCAUUUUAAUUAAUUUUUUAUAUAAUCGUUUUGUGUACUUCUAACAGCACGUGUGUAAUGAUGAAGUAAUGAUGUCCACUUUUAAAUCGCGCAAUUGAGUAGCGCUUGGACAGGAUUGAUAUUAAUGCCAGUGUUUCUGAUGUGAAGCUAACAUAAUUUUGCGCUGUCAUGGCUGCGCGAGUGUCGCUGUCGCGCUGCAUUAUGGUGACAGGGCUAAAUGGUGCGCGAAUUAAUGUUCAUGCAAAUUCACGCGAUUAUCCAUAUUAAUAUGCCUCUGUUCUGUUAAUCUAUUUCUUCUCGUUUAAUAUAACGCCGGCUGCCGGGUGGACGAUGCGGCGCACACACUUGGGACUUGCACGAAUUCACAUAAAACAGCGCAGGCAGGAUACGGUUAGCAAAAUGGUUUCGUUCUGCGGCGCGCGCGUCACGCGAAUCCCUCAGGAUAGUAAUACAGCGAAUAUCCUGCGCGAUCGAUGGCCCCGACGGGACAUCAGCGCGUCAAAAACCAAACCGUUUCCUGGCAAAAAAUAUGUUUCCAAACAUCGCGCGUUUAGCAUAUCUCUUUAUGCAUUACUAUCAUCAGCAUUCUGACUGCAUCUUGAUCUGCACAAAAAGCUAUAAUGAAUUCACAUAAACCUAGCAAGAAGCGGAGGGGAAUCGGCGUCCUUCUUUCUUUUACCUGUAUUAUUUCGUUACAUUGUUGAAAAAUUUACGUGCUCGUGCGAAUCAUAUGCAAAGUUUAUUUUCAAAAUGAUUGCAUGUGGUGAUUGCUUUAUUCUUGAAUAUAUCAGUAGAUGUAUAUAUUUUUAUGGCACUCGCUUUCAACUUGGAGAACAUUGUGGAUAGAAAUCAGCGCGCGCGCUGAAGUACACGUUUAUCGCGUUCGCGACGCUAAUAAAAAUCAUCCACGUAUACUUCUCGCACAACGAGGUGCUCGGGCGAGAUUAAAUAAAGAUAAAAUAUUUCUGCCGUCGCUCGCGCUCGCGAGAGUCCGGGGAUUUGGACGUGAAGAAUAGCGGGGCGCAUCUCGACGAGCGCGUGGCGGCGCGGCAUAUAAAUUCUAUGUACGAUUUCGGUCUCGUUGUUAUGAGGGAUGAAGCAACCUCGUUUUCUUGCCGCGCGGAGGAGAAACGCAGAAACGAAAGAGGGAAAGAUGGGGAGAGUGAGAGGAGACGAUCGGGAAAAGAGGAGGCGACAAGUCGCGAGGGAAGUAGAAAGGGACGUGCCGGGUGAGCAGAGAAGAACGACGCGGGGACCGCCGACACUCGUCAUCGUCACAUUAAGUCGACUUUAUCGAAAUAUACAAUCAUCUUUAUUAUUCCCGGGCGAGACUGCGCUCGCUCGGAAUACCAACUCGAGGAAUACCGUGACGAACCGCAGUCGCGUACCGCACCUCCUCGUGAAUUCCGCGGAUUGCCUUUUUUUAUUGCGUCUCUCCGUCUUCAUCAGUCAGGCUCGACAACGUGCAGCGUGGCGAUAAAGUCCCGCGCGUCUCGCGCUGGGAAUCGCGUUCUCUUCCGCGCUGUUACGCGGACAGGCGACAGGCGACAUGCCAAAUUGUUUACCGCGAAACGCGUUUAAUAUCCUCAAACUGUGGACGAUAAAUAUUUAUGGGCAUGCAGCGAAAAAUUCUCCUAUUCACUCGCGGAUCUUUCGCAUUAAAGCUCGAUCGGAGACGUGUAAAUUCAGGAAUCAGCUUUGAGAUGAAAUAUCUCCGUGGCGAUGACUUCCCAACGGCUCCGCGUUGCGGAAAAAUUAGAAUAAGAAAUGCGGCCCCUACAAAAUAUUUGACGCGCAAACUUUAUACUCGAAAUGAAAUUCUAGUGAUCGUAAAUUAUCAUGGAUUGUGAGGGGAAACGGGAAAAAAAUUCGCUCCGUACGUGGCGACCUUGCCACCCUCGUUUAAGGCCUAUUUCCUUUUGCUAUAGGAUUUGCAUAUAAUAUACGAAUUCCCUUAGACUAGUGCGCGUGAAAUUUCUUUCCUCGAAUUUCGAUUCCACGUGUCGUUGUUUGCAUCACAAAUUUAUGAAAUGACAUCGAGAGCCGAGGGUGCGAGCCGAGAAUACCGAUCGUGCAAUGUAGUCGCGCAUGCGCACGCGUGACUUAUUAUAAUACCCGGUUUAUUGCAUUAUAAUUCAUUAUGAUUCAUAUUCUUCGCUAGCCAUUUCUCUCAACAUUAAAAGCGGUUGCUCGAUGUUCCUGAUUUUCGCGCUACGCAAAUGAGACUCAAAAUUGCACGACCGCAUAAGGGGUAAAUGUGCAGUGAGGAUUCGGCUCCAACGUAGCUGUAAUUAUGGGCAUUAACCCGGUGACAAUAAUAUAAUCGGCCACACGUGCACUCAUUAGUCGAGCAACAAAUCGCGAGAAUUUCGCGCGGCCAUUUCACGCCGUUCAUGUAUUUAUAAUUGCGCGAGACGUUAAUUAAGCCGUUAUCGAUGCCACUGAUUAUUUUGUCAAAUACAGCGGUAAGUGUAUUAUGAUUGACCGAAAAUCAAUAUAAGCCGCUUUGCAGUAAUCACUCAUUAAUUAUAACGGCGUAUAAUCGCGCGGCGGAGCGACAAUAUUCGUUGUAACACGUCAACCUCGCUCGCCCUUGAUGACGGAAAUUGCACGAACAAUCCCGUUUCCUACUCGGCAGAAAGUAAUAAGUGCGGAAAACGGAAAAAGUUUGCACGCGACUUCGAAACAAGACAAAAUGAGUCGACGAAAAAAAGAAGCAAAUUAAUUGUCAUGUAUUUCGAAAUGAAUUUUCUUUCCUGCAAUCAUCGUUUAAACAAUUCGAGCACCGUAUAAUUUUUUCUCUAAUUUGCUUGUCUAACAAAAUAAGUAGAAUCUUCUGCUUGAAUCUGAGAAUCUUCCAAUUAUAUUGUCCAAUAAUCUUUCUAUAUUGCCUGAAUUUAAAUGAAAAUUAUAUUGCCAUUGUUGCAUUGCAAAUGUAGAUCACACGAAUGCAAUGUAAUUUCACUUUCUUUAAUUAUUCAAUUUCUUAACUUUUUCUCUUUCUCUGAUACGACUUCGUUGUAUCAAAGCCCGUAAAUUACUUAACGCAAGAACGCGUGCGACGGUCGGAAGCGCGAUAGAUUGCCCGGAAGGGCUUAAUCGUGCCGUACGUCGAAAUUAUUUCUUCUACCGGGACUCUCCGUGCGCCCUUCGGCCGCGAUAUAUCUCGAAAAUGGUGGCUACCGACCCGGCACGUCCACCGAGCGGGAAUGGUGGCUCAUCACGCUUCACUAUAUAACCCAGAGAAGAUCCUGGUGGUGCCUCGUCCUCCCUUUCCCUCCGUCUCUCGCCUCGACAGGAGCUGCCUCCGGCAACUACGGCAACACCGGCUCCGUCGUGUAAUAAUUUCAUUUAUUUGCUAAAUCCCGCCACGUACGUGUCACGAAUGAUUAACGGCGGUGCGAAGAUCCUCGCGCCUCCGCGCGACCUCGCAAUAUCCCUUCGUACGAGGGGAACCAGCCACCUUUCGUCCGCUUUUUCGCAAGGUGCGGGCGAGAAAAAAAGCGAGCGGAACGAUGCGGAUACGCCCGGGAUUGUGAUUCGCUAGAAUCAGCUGGCUUAUGUAUCCAACGGCGCCUAUCGCAGUUUUUUUCCCCGGAUCUUUAAAGGAUAUUUGAUUCCGAGAUAUUUUUAAAGGGAUAGCUUGAAAGGAUCUUUGUAAUUUCUGAAAGUAGCAAAUCUCUUUAUUAAUAAUCCAUCAACAUUAUAAUUUUUGUAAUAUGUGAUAAUGAUUAUUGAUUUGGUCUGAAUUCAGACAAAAUAACUUUAAAAUUUUUUCUCUUCAUGUUUAGACUUUCUGACGCGUUCUGUGUGCGUAACAUCAAUUUCGCUACAAAGUUGCACCGACAAAUUUGGACUGUUCAAAAAAGUCCAACUGUCCACAAAAGGAUUAAAAGCUCUAAAAGCCUGUGCGAAAACCCCGGAAUGUACCAAUUACCUAACACCCGCGUAAAUAUUGUCCCUCUUCCGGGGACAAAUUUGUUCUGAGAUUUUCCCGGCAGCAACCCACCGUGUCGACUUCUCCAGAAAUUCUUAGUGCUUCCGUUUCUCUCGCUCUCGUCUUUUCUCUCAUGCUUCCGGCGAUGGAACUUGCGGAAUAAUUAUCAGCGUUAAUCAAGCAAUUUAAUUACCGACUUCUCGCGAGUCCGUCCUGCCUGCGCGCGCGAAUAAUCGAAAGCAGUACUUUAACGCGAAAAGGGAUAACUUUCCAACGCGAGAGAGGAUCGUAAAUACAUUAGCCGGCUACGCGGAUGAAAGGAGGAACUUUUAAUUUCUUUUGGAGUGCCUAUCUCUCGAGCGUGCACGUGAAGGGAAGCGCAAGCCCUUUUUACCGUAUCGCCGACGUGCGAGAACGAGCUGUAAUGGCGAGAGCGUUUGCCACGGAUAAAAGGGAAUCGCAAUGUAACGUCGACGUUCGCGUUAACAAAUCCUGACACACGACAAAUGAAUUUUCUCGUUAGUAUACCUACUAGUUGCGUACGCUUACACCGAUCAGAUUGAGAUAACAUAAAAAUACAAUCAAUCCAUUAGAUAAUUAAUUUGCACUCACAUACACAAUAAUUGUUAUGAUAUUUAUUUCACAAUUCUGCGGAAUAACGUGCGUUUAAUUAAAUUCACGUUCGCAAUAUCGUGGGAUACGUGAACAAACAUCUUGCAACCGCGCGUUAUAUGCAUACAUCCGGCGAGAUGUUAACGUUAACAUUAACGUUAACAUUGCGUUAUCGCAGACAUGAUGAGCCCAUAAUGUUCUAUGCGGAGAUAAAUUUCCGGCAAAUGUAAUGUACGGUAAUUGCCUACGUGAGAAGGAUAAUUUCCGCACGAUCGACUACCUGAGGACUGACUGUAACAGAACAGCGUUAAUAUUAUGGAUCUAUCACGAAGAAAGCUCCGAAUGGUGAAUUCGAGACAACGAGAAACAUGGUUUCUAUGCGAAAUAAUAGAGUUUGUGAAUAUUUUCUGCCUUUUGUGAAAAAUCAUUGCGUUAACGAAUGUAUUCAAGUUCAUGAAGCGUGUUCGGCAAAUCAUGCUCAUGGACCUUGUGAAAAAAAUGAAAUGUUUACAAUGGCAGCAUAAAGGACUUGCAAAAUUAAAUAUGCCAUCAAGAAGAAUAGCAAGCGGUUUGCCGAGUAACAAUGACAUUUUGCAUCGUAUUUAACUCGCAGUAUCAUCCUCGAGCUGAUUGCAAUUGUUUACGCAGCUCAAACAUCCACGAAUCAAUCUUGAAACUAAAGCGCGAUGUAACACGGACAGCUUCGUUUUCGCGCUGAUGCGAACAGCAAACAGGAUAAAAUAACUCGGCGCAUAAUUCGUUACCCUCAGAAAUUUAUUUAAUUAGCCGCACGUUAAAAGCUCGAAAAUAAACGCGAACGCGGUUUAUCAGAUACAUAAUAGCUUUGUUGCAUGCUGGAAUUGCAAUUUGUUCGCUAUUUCCAUGGAAUUGUUGAUAAUGGAUGCCUCUGAAUUACAGUAUUGAAUAAAAUAGCUUUCCAAUCCACCUAUCUUUAAUCUUGAUUAUUAUUCCGAUUUCAAAUGCUGCCCCGAACGACCAACGAACAUCCGAAAGAAUUAUUUACCGCGCCACUCACUCUAAAAUGCGCUUCAGUCAUUAUCGAAAUGUUAUUUGAUGGCUCGCGUAUACGUGCGGAAGUUUCUCAAUCCUCAUGUCGGUUCUAUACCUGCGGUAGCCAAUAAACCGUGCCAGAUGCGUCAAUGCCAUUAUGUCUCUUCAGCUUUCUCUUUAGCAGCUCAGCUUCAGCUAAGCUGAAUUCGACAGUUAAUUUACGAAAUAUCGACAGCGCGGUAAAGCAGCUAACAAAGCCGAUUCGCUUAAAAGAUGAGAUGGUAGCCAGCUUCCAGAAAUAUAUUCCCGCUCGCACACGAUGCAACUUCCAUAAACGUCUCUAAGUGCAAUGGACCCUCAAUUUAAGACUCAAUUAUCAAAGUAUAUUUAUAACAUGAAUAUGAGAGAAUAAAAAAUUCCUCCAUAACGAGCACGUUUUCGUUUAAUGUACGGGAAAUUCGUAUCAAAUCGUAUCGUUCGGUAGAUUUUCACUCUUGAGCACAAGACUUGCGUCUCGGGGAGAUCACGGAUUCCGGCGCGGGUUCCUCCUGAUUUCGCCUCGGAGCUCUUUCUUCGUAGCCGAAAAUAGAAAAGCAAGCUGCUCGCAAAGCGGCAUCGUCGCACUGCGCUCGCGUAUAUACGUGUAUAUACGAACGUAUGUGAAAUUCGCGCACGUGGUGGAAGGACGCACGAUUUACGGGUAUUACGAAAAUCGACGGCGCGCAACGCUGCAACCGCGCUCGCGCGCGUCCCUCCGAAUGAAAGGGAAUGAACGUCCGUCGUUUCGCGCCCGCUCACCCCGGGAAUUCACCAAGUUCGACCGCCUGUCCCAGUCCUACCUAAUGCGGAGGGUAAUUUCGUGCCGAUCGAAGGCUUUUGAGCUACUUAUUUACCGGGGAUAGAAGUGGGAGACGUGGCGACCGAAGAACGCUCGCUGAAGUCGUCUAGCGUCGAGGACAUUAGCAUGGCUCCUAGGAAGCGUCGUCGUAUAAAUCGGCGAGAUCUCCCCGUCGCCGUAACAUUUAUCGAACCACCCGGCCGCCGCCAGAAGGAAAAUUGGAGAAUCGGAGGUUAAGAGAAAAAUGUUUCGGGCUCCUUGGAGAUAUCGGGGUGCGCCAGGGAUGCAACGGACUCCCGUUCGAUCGAUCGGCCCGGCUCCAAUUAUUAUUACGUAACGAAAACACUCGUGGUCGACUCGAGUUAAUCCAAUCGCGUUACAUCAUGUAAUGGUUGCAUAAAUCGUUAUGCAACGCGAAUGAGUGGCAGCUCGUUUCCGGUUUUUGUUUGUUCUCUUCCUCUUUUUAUCUCUCUCUUUCUCGAAUUAAACGCGGGAUUGAGGUAAGAAAUGCCUUCUACGAAAUUAUUCAUUAUUCACUCCUACAUACCGAGAAUAAUUCUCAAUUUCUGCGAGAGGGGUUUAAAUACGAGGACGAUGACUUGCAGUUACAGGGGAGAUGGUUUUGCAGAGAGGAAGACGCGCGACAAGAAAGAAGAGCCUUUCUCGCGCUUCAUGCCCCGUAAUUAGGUUGGCUCUUAAUGAAGAAGGUUCGUCAUUCUUUUCGGCGAACCUCGUUUAUAAGAUUCGAGAACAAGUAUGAACUCGAACAAUAGAACGUGAAUUAUAGAGAUUGUCGAUCGCCCUCUCUCUCGAUGCGAGAUUCACAAUUCGUGAGAAUGUUUCUCGCUCCCGAGCAUGCACAAACAACCCGAAGAAAUGCGAGAGAGGACGAGAAUGGGAAGCAUAAGAGAGGGAGAGAGAUAAUAAUUAAGCGACAAUGAUACAAUAGCACAUCGAUGCGACGAGAAAGAGAGACGUCCGGCCCAAUCAAUGGGUGCGAAGGUGCUGAAACCACCAUUGUGUGGUUCACCGACAUCCUUGCCUCCCUCUAGUCCUUCCCCAUCAUCGCGUGCGUGUUUGCACCCCGUGGUGCGAGCGACAGCUAUACCGUCGGUCCUCCGACACGUCGGCACCCCAUGGCUUUUCUCAUUCGGUUCACGUUCGUGCAUCCCGUGGAAAAUAAUAUCCUGUGUAAAUGGGCGACUCGUGCUCUCCGCGGGGUCCCCUCCCUCUCGUCAUUCCGUUCCUCUCUUUGUCUUCCUUUACUUCUAUUUAUCCUUCCUCGACCUUCGCUCUUCUCUCUGCCCUUCGUCGGAACGGUCAGUUACCUCCUCCACGACGCCGAGACUGUUUUUCCUUAAUCCUCUCGGUUGCUUCCAAGCGGGUAGGAUAACGAACUCGUUUCGUUUGCAAAAUUCUCCUCGCCCGCGAUGGAGAUUCACUCUGUACAGGGUGAUACGGCGAUACGCGAGCUGGAAACAGGGAUGAAAGAAAAUUGGGCGCCGCGAGAAAGGGACGCGGCGAGCAGAUUGGGUGAGAUCGUUGGUUACAGAGGAGCGGACCGUAGAGAGGCCGAGUGGUCCUUGAGAUCCAUCCCUACGGUAUUUUUCUCCAUCCCCGUGACUCGUGGCGCGGCAACGUGUCGUUUCCCUUUUAACCUCCGUGUCCCUGCCUUACGAGGGCCUCGGAAACCAUCGAUCCACUCGAAACGCUCGCGCACGUAAACGAAACUCCAGUCGAAACUCACGGCGAGCAGAAGUAAACGAGAGAGAAAUUAAACGAAGCGAACGAAGAAGGGACGCGCACAAAGUGACAGUACUAUAAGCAAAUGCGAGGUGGUGGAUGACAAAAAUAAUAAAACUGUGACUGAAAGGACAGUUACAAAAAUGGCACGUUAUAUCUGCCAAUUAGCGGACUGCCGGCCAGUCGCGAAGCGGAGGUUUUCGCUGCGGCGUUUAGAUGCGAUAUCUUUGGAAUUGGUAUCCGACGAACGAGCGUCAUAUUUUCUUCUCUUUACAGAAAUUUCUAUUUUUCCUUCCACCGUGUGCGCAUUGGUCGGCGCGCCGCAGCGGUCAAUAGCGCGAUGCGGAAACGUUGAUUUAUCAGCACGAUAUACCGGCCCGAAUCCCCGUCGUUGCUGUGGCCGCUUUGUCGUGCAUGCAUUUUGUUGCUUUUUCGUGACUUCCAAUUUGCCUCGCGAUCGGUCGCCUUAUGUCGCACGCCGCGGUGAUUUAUGCCCUAGCCAUCGAAUACGGCUGCGAGAGAUAUGCUCCUUUUUGGCGUUUAUUACUCCGCGAACGAAAGAUUAUUUGACAGAUCGACAAAGACAGUACGGUGAGAGAGGGAGAAAGAGAGAGAGAAUUCAGGGCAGCCUCGGGGGUUGCGUCAGGUUAACGUUGAUAAUUUACUGCUUAGCGUAUAAUGAUUAGCGAUAAUGUACUGAUUAGCGAAUAAUAAUUAAUUAAUAAUUCAGAAUACAUGCAUAUUGUCAAAAUCAUGCGUGUUGUUUUUGACUCGGAAACAGUCUGAUUCAUAAUAGAUUCAUGUAAUUUAUCAUAAGAGAAUCCCAUCCAGUCACAUUUCAUACAUGUUUUGUAUUACAUGAAACGUUAAGCAGCCUGGCUUUCGUUACAAUUACAGAGAAGAGAGGAACUUUCGCUGCAGCGAUGCAGCGUCAUCCGAUUUAAAACCGGCGUCCGCGGCUAUGAACAAUUCGCGGAGGUGGUAUGUAACAUCCAUCGGCGGCAGUGGAGCGCAAAGCGAACGCCCGAUGAGCGUACCUAUAAUCCGCGCAACGAACGUAAUUGCGAUUCUGUCGCCAAGUCAUUAACAACGUAUCCAUUUGGCCGGCACGUUUACGAACUUUUCGGUGUUUCGUUGGUACGUAUUUGUUCACUCUCGAUUUGUUCUUUUUUUUCUCAUGCACAAUGGAAAAAGGAUUUACGCGGCAUGUGCAUUUUCCUCUCUUGCGGGUGAUUAUGGUGAUGCAAUUUGGUGCAUCGUUUGGAAACGCGCGUAUUUUCUAUUUCUCGGUAUUCGAAUGUAGAAAUAUGCGUCGACACAAUAACUUUAAAACAUAAACUAAAUUCCAUCAAUUCAAUUGUAAAGUUAUGACGACAAACAAAAAAUUAAAAGUAUGGCAAAGAUUAGUUUCCAAUAAUAAUUUUAGCAUAUAUAAAUAAAUGUUACGCACGAGAAAAUCAACAUAAAUUCGUGGAGACCACACGAAUGCUCAAAGACAAGCUCUUUUGAUUAAAAUCUUCAACAGACAACCUAAUAGUAGAUUAGAUAAUAGAAUAAUAGAAUAGAACAUGAAUUAACUAUUGCACGUAGAAAUUGCAUUUAAUUUAUGGAAACGAUCUCCGAUUCGCAUUUCGAACGUAAUUGCCGUGUAUUCCUCCGAGCGGUCAGUGUAUCGCCGCCGGCUCUCUUCUUUCACGCUGAAAAUUAGUGUUCUCGUAAUAAACAUGUCCUCAGUACCGCGUGUAACGAAACGUACAUGUAUAAAUUAUCACGAACGAUUGAAACACGCCAGAAAAGGAAGGCAGAGAUUCUCGCGGGUGGUCAGCGCGAUGCAUACGCUGAGGUUUUAUACGCGCGACUGGGAUAAAUUCGAAAAAAAUAUUUUCAGCUUUAGCGCGUCCGGUCGGUUUAUACGCCCGACAGAAGGACCGUAUAUUUUAUCCCUUUCUCUCUCUCUCUCUCUCUCUCUCUCUCUUUUUGCAUAGAGUACUCGAAUUUAUGUGUUGUCAUGUAUCGAAGAAUAGAGGAGCGCGAAUCCUCGAAACGCGAAAUUAUAACGCGUACCGGACAUGGAUCGUUCGUCACUAAAGUAUUAUUUUUUAGUCCCUGAUACAGGGAGAGAGAGAGAGAAAGAGCAAUGCGAAACUGACGCAUCGAUGCAACGCGCGCCGGAUGUAACCCUCUAUUUCGUCGCUAUUGUUUUUUUCCUGUCCUCCCUUCUUUCCGGCGUGAGCAACGAUGCGAAAAUCGUGACGCGAAUUACGUAAAUGCGCGUUUUGACGCGGCGACGUCGAUAUGGUGAUCAUAUUUAUGGAUAGAUCGGCAGUAAACUUUUUUAGAGAGUAAUAAUAAUAUAACUGCACAUGAAUGUAAUAAAUAGGUAAGUGGCAAUUACCAGCAGCGGUUACUCUACAUGCGAGAAAAAUUACCAUGAAGAAUACUGUAACUUUAGUUUCUCGCGAACCAAUUCCAUAAAGAUCUCACGACGCGACUACGGGGCUGAUUAAACAUUUCUUUUUUUCUGCUCGUCUGUUCGUUAUGAGUUCGCCAGAGUUCAACCCUUUCUUCGCGCUCCUCGCGACGCCUACGUUCGCAAUAAUCUACCCUCGUCUGGCGGCGCGAUCGCGCGGCGUCAGGUUCGAGCAAUCUUACCCCCCUUGCCUAAGCCGAAAAUAAUUGUGGUCGGGAAUCUCCCCUGGCACCUUGGAUCUCAAGUACGUGAGCCGAGUGCUCACCGAGAACUUCUCUCUGGGCCCGUGACGAGGUGAUCCUGCCAUGACCUCCUCCCACGUCCUUUCGAAGGGCAAUCGUAAGGACCGCCCUUCCCCCCUCGUUAAUGCCCCCGUUUUUAUCUCCGAACAAAGGCUCGGAAGCCAAUCCUUCUAAUAACGACGCGGCCGCCGCCGACACCGCCGCCUUUCGAAUUCGGACCGCGUGUGCGGUCGGGCUUUUCAUAAAAUUCUCACGAUCCGGCCGCAGCCAAUCGACGAGCCGGCCGAAAGCGUGAGAAGCUCGAUAUAUGGUGGAACCGCCGAUGAAAUUAUAUAUCGGGAGCGAUAUCCCAGCGUUCCAGACGAGUCGGUGCCUCGUAUUGGAGCGACCAUUGGAUGAAGUAUUUAAAAAAAAGUGAUCGACUUUUAUAAAAUAUGGAUUUUAAGAGGAAAACUGUGAAAAUAAAAAAAUCGAAUGAAGAAGUCUCGGAAAUAAUAGUGUGAUAAGUAAGAUCGUCCGCGUCAAGUUAUUGGAGCAGAUUCUCGGUUCUCUCAUUGUCAGUCGAGAAAUUUCGUACGUUAAAAAAAUUUUCAAUACCUUCUUGUGUCGCUGUAACUAUGAGAAAGGAAAACCGACCGAAUCGCUGAUUGUCGCUGGUUAACGCGGGUCACUGGUGCAACCGCACCGUAAUCGUCGCGAUACCUGCAGUGGGUACAGAGAGACCCAUAACCGGCAUGGCGGUAUGGCGGCAAAAGCACGAGAUAAAAGCGAAAUGCGCGGGAUGAAAGAAAAAAAGUACUGUCGCGCUACACGGCUGUCGCCAAUAAUGCCCGGUUUUAUCGGGAGCGUGAGCCAACACUCGCAUACCGGGAGAAAUCGGAGCACAUGUGGAAAAUAACGGGCUGAUUCCUGCUACCAGCGUCGGCGACAUAACAUCGCCGCGGUAACUGUUACCGGGACACGAUCGGCACGACCGACGUGUCCAAUGCGUAUCGGGCGUUUUGUCGGGACCCGCGUCGCUCACAUUUUUCGCGAUGCGAAAGAGAGCGCAGCGCUGGUCGAUUUUUAUCAGCGCGCAAACCGGAGCGACGUUAUAUCGAGAGGGCCGGGAGACGGUAUCUAUAUGUAUCGAGGGUUUUUUUUCCUCCCGCACUACUCUUGUGGCGAAGCAAUCGGAUUAAUCAGCGGAAUAGAGAGCCGGAACGAUAUCAUCAAAGUGCGUUCGGAUUACGAUGGCUCGCCGGCAUCGCUCGUGAAUGCCGGAUAGCCUAGAGCCGACGUCGGGAUAACAAUAUACGUCGCCGCGGGAGUCUCUCGUAAUUGGCGAAUUGUUGAUGUACGUCCGUUUCUACUUGGCCGCUCGAUUAUCAAUCCAGCAUCCGCUCGCACUGUCGGAUCCAUCACGUUACUUUCGCGCGCGCGUCAGAACGAAAAAUUCGAAAUAUCUAAUAUUACGAAAACCAUAAAGGAAAACCGAUCUAAUUGCGAGCAUCUAUCCAAAUAAAAGACGAAAAGAUUUCCCGAUAUUUUCGCAUAUUCGACAAAAUCGACAUCGAUGCAUCGUUCGAAGCAGCAAGCGUCAUGUCGUCAAAUUCCGCGUGCAAUUUUUGCGAAACGGCGCAGAACAGUCCGAUAAAUAGAACUACCCAUAUUGUCCCGGCAGCCAACGUGCUGCCAGAUCGCAACUGGCUGAUACCUUGGCGACGUCGCCGAAGUUUGUAGUGAUGCAUCACGCGCCGAGUUACAUUCCGCAGCUGCCGUGAAUGUCCGUGUUGUCGAUUUUGACCGGGAUAAUUCUCGCAAACACACUGCAAUGCGCUAUACGCGAACAAUGCCGACGCGUAAUAGCCAAUCAACGAGCGGUGGCCCGCACCGUUUUGACGGCUGAAGUUGAUGUACGCUUCAUGCCGUAUGAAGAGCAAAUCGCCGCUAUGCUAUGCCUGGUGGUCGAGCUUAACGAGUAUCGCCCGCCAGGUUUUGUCAGAGCAAGUGGAUCAACCGUGAUACUGGUCAGACUGAUAGUCAAUCUCUCGCGCGUAACGUGUAUCGAAUGACGCGUAUCUUUAAUGUCCCCUUUGGAUUCUCAGCAUGACAAAAUUAUGAAAUUUGAUCAUCUUGGAGAGAAUUUUGGCGUGUAAUAAUAUACAGAUCUUUGAUGUUAUUUAAUUUAGGUUAUAAUAAGAACAAUUAAAACAAUCCUCGUAAUCAGUUCAUUAAUUAAUGGGUGAAUAUCACGACCGUACAAUACGUGAUAGAACACGCGCAAAAUGAAUAUUGCGACGGAAUUGAAAGCCAUUCGGGAAUUCGAUGUUCGUUGAGCAUCAAAAUUUUCUACAACAAUGUCGAUUCAUUUUGCACGGUAGAUUUUUGGUUGGAAAUACUGUUACAGGGUUUUCGUACCGCGUGUCUAUCUGGAAGCCGAUGAUAAUUUUUAUCGAAUGCUGUUUCGCGCGUAUUCCGCGCUCUCCAUUUGGCACGUCGAUUUACUACGAAAUUCUGGAGAGAAUGAGGGGAAAAAGCGUGUUCCGCGCUGGUUAAAUGCAUUUUUAAUCACAAGUAAUUUAAAAUCCGGAUUCGACGUCAAGCUUACAGAUCGCCUGAAGUUCAGCUAGCAAUUAUUUAACACGUUAUUAUCGAGUAAGAAAUUAUUUAUCGGACAUUAUUGGGAUCGUAUAGGGCGCGAAUUUAUCUUGAUUUAUCACCGUAAAUAAACGCUUUAAUCCGCCGCGCACGUAAUAUACGAUGUAUUAUCAAUACACCUGGUGUCGCGCUGAUUUUCAAGCUUAAUGCAUAUUUCAUGCUGCUUAUACAGCUAGUUCGCAAUGUGCAUAAUCAAAGCUCUCGCGUGGAUUAAAUGUGUCUGACUAAGUGCCCGGAGAAAUUAUUCACCAAGUUUACUCAACUUCUCCUUAAAUACAUAUAACUCGCCGCCACCGCCGCCGGCGACCAACUUUUUCCUCGAAGAUAAUUAAGCAACGCACGCGAGAGAUGCAGGUUCCAGCGAGGAUAACGGCAAAACCAAUGAACAGACCAAUUAAUUACUCGUCGAUCCUCUUCAGGAUAAUUACCGUUUGAUGACGGUGCCGAUAUGCAAAAGUGCAUUCGUUGAUUCGUCACUUGACGCGCAACCAUUGGAGACAUUUCGCUUUCAACCGCGAUUAUAAAUCGCUUUUCCUCUCUUUCUUAAGACGAUCACGAGCGUUUACGUCGAUCGAACUUAAGCUGCCGCCAACUUGGACGUCGACUUGCCAGGAGGAGAGCUAUCGCCGAUAUUCGUUGCUCGGUCGCGAUCUUAUCCGAGCCUUUCCGAGUCAUAAAAUGUUUCUCGGGCGGAGGGUGGAUUAUCCUCUAAGAGAGACUCCAUUGGGCAGCACUCGCCCGGUCCUGGAAGAGCGGCGAAUAAAUUCCGCGGCUGAACGCAGACGCGUCCUAAAAGGAUCAUAAAGUCCGAGAUAAGGAUCGUGCUCGUCGAUAAACGAGAGAGGGAGGGCGCGAGGGAGAAAGCGGCAGAGAACUUGCGCGUGGCCGUCGAAUAAAGGAGCUGCUUAUCCGUAAAGUCGUGCAGCUGUUCGUACCUUUCUCCGUAUCCGUUCUCCAAGCUCCUGGUAAUUAUAUCUAUGAUCGUACGAAUGUGUGUGUGCGCUCGUCGAUCUCACCGAAGCUCAUCUCAAGGAAUCAGAUUUCUCGCGGCCGUCUAUCCUUUUCCUCGACGUGGGGAUAACUGCGAUAAAGUCGACAAGUGCAGUCGCGCGGCGUGCCAAGCUGAUACCGUUCGGGAUACGUCACACGCGUAUGGAAUGGCGUUAUCAGAAAUAUUCUGCGGUGAACGAACGCGCGAUAAUACCCGGACGACGUUACGAGAUCUCUUCGUGACGCUUUUUGUCCGUGAAAGCUGGCAUCGAGCGAUAUUCACGGCACGAGCGCGAAUCGGGAGCCACAAGCGCAUGCUUUCAUUGCGCGUCACGUUUGCUUUAUGUAUCAUGAAAGCGAGAUAGCCGUUUAUCGAAGGGUGGAAAAGUGGGAGAGAGAGAAACAGAGACAAGCUCGAGAGACUAUUCUCGUGGUCAAUUGCAACAGGCCUCAGGUUCGCGUCGAUGAUCGAUAAGGGCGCCCACCAUGGAAGGUCACAUAACGGGAGGUCAGAUUUCGGGGUCGCUUACGAAAAAAUUGGUGGACUGAUAGCGAUAAAUCACAUUCCUUCCUGCUUAUUAUGUAGUAUUCUUUUUAUGGCGCUAUAAAGAGGAGAGUCUGAGAUUUCGCGUUGAAUAAUUAACAUACAUUUCGCGUUAACUUCAAAGUUUUAUGUCACGCCACGUAAUAUCUGCAUAAGAACCGGUAUAUGUCAAAGUUUUAUUUUUAUCGGCCUGAGGAACUUCCCCAAGGAACGGCCGUGUAUCGCGUAUAUAUCGUAUGUAACGUUCGCGAGGUUGGAUGGAGCUCGUUCUCAUCCCCGAAGCUCCUUCUGCUUGUAAACUUCCCCCGCGAAACCUGCGUUCAUCCCCUAACCCAAACCCACGUCUCACCCUCACGGUAGAGUGCUGUAACCGAAGGUAGACACUCCGUGUGCUGUAAUUUUACAUCGCUCUUUACAUCGUGCCAUUCUGCACAGCCAGGAUAUUUUUUCUCGAACUGUCAUCAUUGGGAUCCUAAAAAGUAGUUGAUUAAUUGCGAAAUUAUGCGUUCGUGUAAGAAUGUGUAAGAAAAAUAAAAACAAAACGUGAUCAUAAUUAACACUCGUCAGGGGUGAGAAUUAAUGAAGGUGGAAAAAGCGACGGAUAAAUUAGGCGGCCAUUAACAACUCGGCCGCUGGAUUGCCUCGAAGCGAGUAGGAGACUUGGGUUUUCGACCCCCGCACCGCGCUGAUUCGCGAGGAGGGUCGAGAAGGAUAUAUAGAACGGAACACGGUGGUUACGCGAAAACGGUAUGGCUGUUUGUUAAGAUCCCUUUGUAGCGUCCAAGGGGUCUUCAACCGACCCUGACUCCCCCAUUCGCCUGAAAUCCAAAUGGCUCUCUCAACGAGCGAGCGUUAUCCUCCCUUUGUCGAGGGUGGUUGAAAGCAUCGGGGAAACGCCCUGUCGAAGGUCACGCCGUAAGACAAACGUCUUUGGCCCUUGGAAGACUCUCUAUGCAGGACUUAAGGAGGGCCCGCCUUUCCUUUCUGGAGAACACAAGUAGUGAAAUAUAAUUGAGUGAUUCGCGGUUUUGCACGAUUUUCCUCGGCGCGUGAUAAUGACAGUCAAGCGGUGAUGUGAUUUUAUUAACGUGAAGAGCGGAAAGUGGAACCGCUUCACGGAAUUAAUAAACGUAAUUAAGAACAAAGUUUCGUGAAAUAAUUAUUUCGCCCAAGUUUGCGAAGUAAUUAUUGCGCGGUUUAUUCGUUUAUUUUUGUUACGUCAGUAACCCUUCAUCGGAUGGAAGGUUCUCGAACGAUCUUCGAAGGCUCCGGCAGGCAAGCCUGCUAGCCGUAGCGAGCGUUAUCGCGAGCCCGGCAAUUAAAUAGUGUAAACAUCCGCGCAUAUCAGCAUCUUUCUAGAACCUUCUAGCACGUUCUAAAACCUUAAAAUAUAUAUAUAUAUAUAUAUAUAGCGAUUUUAUAAUUUAGGAAACUUUAUAUUAUUAUUUUCCUGAAUGCAAAUGAUCAUAUAGACGGAAUUUAAUAUGAUUACAGUCUUCAAAAUAAGUAUUAUUUCUUUUAAUAUACAUAUCUUUGGAUUAAAAACAGAUACAACAACCAUUCAAAAUCCCAGAAGAUCCAUUUUGCAAUCAGGAAAUUAAUACCGAGAGGAAAAUAUUAUAAUCAUAAGGCGAACUACGUAAUUAAUCAACUUAGGUAUUAAGGUUCUGUACAGGGAUGUUUACGCGAAGGGCCUCCCUCCACAGAACCGAGAUAACCGUCGAGACGAAGACGCGGGCCUGAUUUUCCUAAACAUUAUUGGUGGAAAAUCAGUCCCACCAUCGAUAUUUUCAACCACCCGCCUCUUCGUCCACAAUAUAAAAGGGCCUGCAGAAGGCCAGGGAACUCAGUAAUAAGUGCAGCAAUAAGUAAUCAUUUUCGUUAAGCGUUUUCGUAGUCUUGGGUGUCGAGUCUGAUCUCUACGUUUAAGAAUAAAUUCCGAGUAUCUAGUGUUAGCGAGACUGUGGCGACUGCUCUCACUCCAGAGCCACGACAAGGUAGAUUUAUUUGCGACACUGCGUUUCCGAACCCGAUCAUCACACUCAUAUAGUAUCAAUAAAUAACUUUACUUUAAAGGAACAGUUACUGAAAAUUAAUGAAGCUUCUUCUCUAUAUUUCUUGUUUUCGUUCAAAUUCAUUCUGAUUUCCUGGAGGAUUUGCAACUGGCGCUGCCGAAGAGUGUGGCCCUAAUUGUUCAGGUUAGCGCUGCCGAAGAGUGUGGCCCUAAUUUGCGACCAUAAUCCUACAGGAAUCCGUGGAUAAAUAUAAUUCAAUUCAUUUCCAUGCCUACUAAAAAGGGGCGCAGAUUCCAAGAAAAGAAGCUCCGUUAUCAUCUCCGACUUGCUUACUCAAAUAAUCAGGACCCGUUUCCUCUCAUCCAAAAAUUAACGAAUCUAGAAGCCGACCGAGCAUUGUCAAAGCAAAUUCCGUACGUAACCCGCGAACUCACUUUGAACCACAAUUAUCCUGAUUACCGCAACAUCCGUAAGGGUGAUCCUCGUCGAGUUGUUUAUAAAUUACGAGAGUUGUUCGGGUUGAACCGUAAAGAAAUCGAGAUUCCGAGUUCGUAUCCAGUGUUACCACUCAUCCAAGAGUUUUAAUAUACAAACAAGUUCUAAUCACAACGGAAUAAAACCGUAAACCAAACGUGUGAUGUGUCGCGGAAUAUCGAACCCUUCCCGGCGUACCGAUUUGGUACUAGAGUAUCAACGGCGAUCCGGCGUGGUCGCGUGCAUGAGAUAUACGGCGUAUCUCCGACCUAUAGACGGUUCUCUAUUUUGUACCAUUUGCUUCGUUAAUAGAAUUUUUCCUUCACAAAAACAAAAUUAUACUUUGCUAUCAAAACAGGAUUUAAUAGUGGGGUUGAGACGGCACGUUCCUACGUGCGUAAUUUGCGAUAGAGACCUUGCUGGGUACGCGCCGUUUUACAAUUGCGAAAUCUGCUCCGACGGAUAUUUAGAGUUGCUCGAUCAAUUAAACUCAACCGGAGAGGAUAUGUUUGAGCUUUCAGACCCGACAGUAAUUCGAUCACGAGAAGAGUCAACGGGAUUUCUUUCUGUUGCGGAUUAGCGGUCUUUUCGAAAUGACCGGCCGCAGCGGUACUGCGCGACCGUCGGCGGAGUAAUACAAGAGCGAGCGGAGAGCGGUGGUGGCGCGGCAGUCUUCUUCUUACCUCGCGAUCUCUGCGAUCUCUGCGUAGCAAAUCGCUUGCAAAAAGCUUCGUGUGGUUCUUUGUGAGACAAGGCGAGUUCGAGUGGACGACCAACGAGAGACGGGUUCAUCUGAAACGUCCAGCGGUGACGAAAGAGAGAUAAGGGCUUCUGCCACUGAGCGGACACUCGAAUAACCUAGACAGCCUUCGGGUGUGUGAAAGAAUCAAAGCCGACUCGUUACUAACAGAGGUUGCCUUCGGGUGACAGAGUUCUUGUGGACUCUUGCAGCUUCAUCCAUUACAUGUACGUGUGCUCUCUGGAGCAGCUCACUCGCUGAUUUCUUAGUCAGCCGCUUUACGGUGCCUCUAAUAACUGAGGCGUUGAACGAACAAGAUCUUCGAAGAGCGACCUCCCUCAGCGUCAUUCAAGG